rnacentral:lncRNA from 1 species
CGAUAAUCGGGAUUGACACGUUUCUAUAUUUUGUAAUUGAUCGGAUCAUAUUGACAAAGGGAUUAUAGUUUCACGGUAAACGAACGAGUUUGAUUUUGUCAUAUCACGUGACAUUUUCCGUCACAUGUAUUGCCCUGACACAUUGCUAGAUGUCAAUCUGGGACGACGAGUGUGAAUUUGUCAUAAAUUAAAAUGCUGUUUUGAUUUAUCAAUUUUGAUUAGAUCAAAAUAAUAUUUCAUGUCGUUAGAUAUCGUGAUCGGAAACCUGAUGGGUCGUAUACAAAAGAGAAUUGGAAGAUUGUAAUUUGUCGAUUAAUUAAUUUAACAAUCGUUAGAUAAAUUAAUUAAUUGGGAUGGUUAUUUAUAGGCCCGAAUUAAUUAAUUGGAUUAAUUAAUUCACGGACCAGAUUUAAUUAAUGGAUUGAUUAAAUAUUGGACCGGAUUAGGCCAAUCCCGUUUGGACUUAUAUAAAUAAGUUUACAAUUUUGUAAUGAAUUUAUUAUUCUUCAUUAUUCUUGCUAGAACAAGAUGAAAAUCCUAAUCCUACAAUCUUGUUCUCUGUGUGGAUCACCGAUGGAGGCUGGACAAUUGGACAACUGUGGUUGACAGAUCAAGAUUGUUGGAAUGCUAGAAAAGUACAGGAGUUUGCAGAUCUAGAAAAAUGUACGAUCUUUUUUACAAU